GCUUUGCCUGGCUUUCUUUUGGAUCACUUGUUCUGGAAGAAGCCAGCUGCCAUGCUGUAAGGACACUCAAGCCGUUUCCCCACGUGGGAACAGCCAACAUCAACUUGCUAGCCAUACAAGUGAGGCAUCUUGGGAGCAGAUCUUCUAGUCCCCAUGAAGCCUUUCGAAGACUACAGCCCUGCUAACUUUUUCACUGCAACCUCAUGAGACAUCACAGCCACCACCGAGCCGUCCCCACCGAGGAGAGGGGAGACAGGGAGGCAGUGAGCAAACGACGCUGCCCUCAGGAGCCACAGUUCUUCACCUUCUGCUCUGUGACGGCCUGGAGAGCGGGGCCAGCAGAGCGGGGCCAGCAUUCCCAACAGGCCUUUCCAGCCAACACGGAAAGGAACCAAGGAGCCAGCCAGAGGACAAGCUCUUUCCGCCAUUUCCUGGUCUGCUGUACUGCUCCUUCCUUCCAAAGGAGGAUACAAGGAGAAGAUGGCCACCCGCAAACCACGAGGAGUACUCUCACCAGACACCAGAUCUACUGGUACCCUGAUCUUGGACCUCCCAGCCUCCAGGCUAUGACAGAAAAAUGUUUGUUGUUUAAGCCACCCUGUCUAUGGUAUUCCGUUAUAGCAGCCCGAACUAAAGACAUAGGCAUAUUUUAAGUAUCUUUUAACACUGGCCUCCUCUCAACGAGAUUUCUCCAUCUGGCCUGCCCAAAGAACUCCAUGUGGUGAAGCUUUUUACUGUGGCCCAGGCAGCAGUACAUCAUCCGACAUUGCUUCCCAUUGCCCCUGGCCUCACAUUCCUCUUCUGUCACCUCAUAGCAUUAGCCUUAAACCUUGCCACAGGCUCUGUUUUCUUGCAAAGUUUGACUAAAAUGGGAAGAAAUAGAUUUGUGGACACAAUUCAAGAAUCAUUUUGGAGUGUAGACAACUAUUUGGAUAAGUUUGGGUGUAAAGCAACAGAGAAAUGGGGCAACAUCUACAGGAGCAUUGAUGAGAGAGAACCUAUGAAGUGGUGAUCUCGGAG
rnacentral:lncRNA from 1 species